GCGCGCUGAGGCGUCCGCCCCGUCGACCGGCCGCCGGUGUCCCGGGAGCCAUGGCGUCUGUGGGGGUGGCCGCCGGCCGGCAGGCCGAGGAUGCGCUGCCGCCGCCCGCCGAGCCGCCGCUGCCCGAGACGAAGCCGCCGCCGCCGCAGCCGCCGCCGCCGGUGUCCGCGCCGCAGACGCAGCCGCCGCCGAGGCCUCCGUCCCCCGCCGGCGUGAAGACGGAGGAGAACUGCUCCUUCCUGCCCCUGGUUCACAACAUCAUCAAAUGUAGAUCCAACAGGUACGGAUCCCCUCGCGUGCGAGGCUCACGGCUGAGUGCUGUGGGGCGUACUCGUGAAAGCGCGGACUUCUCACCCCCGCGUCGCUCACCAGUUAGAGGGGAAGACGUCCUGAGCGGGAACAGCCCACAAUGCAGAGACGUUAUAGGGGCGACGGAAGGAACAUCACAGGAACCUAACAAGUAACAGGCACGUGGACCCCGGCAUGCGCUUGCAGCCUUUGCUGAAAUGGAGUUGCUACUCACAGCAGGAAAGCGUUGUUACCCACCCAGCUGGUUUUGAGUUUGGGGCGUUAGAUGCACUUGCCAGGGGAUGACCUACGGCUUUCACCGCUUACCAACAACUGCAGAGCCUUGGUUCUCACCAAAGACCUUGACUUCACCUGGCUCCACGUGGUGUGAACAUGCUGUUUAUCGGGACAGUGACGAGUGGACUUGAAGUAUAAAACCAAAAAGGACAGGAGAGGACAUCAUUGCUACAAAGCGAUGGCAAGGGCCAGUCCACCACCCAACCCCAGGAAGCAGCCAGGAGCAGCUGCCUUUGGCCGUGGCCUACCCCCGGAUCUCAGGAGAUGGCACUGCCAGGGACCCCUGGUGAAGAUGUGAGGGGGCACUAAGAACAGGAUUACCGGCAAGUCUGUUUAGAAGCAGAUCCCCUCAGUCCUCUCCCCAGUCCAAACGUACAGGGACGACCCUUCCAUCUCAGCAGACAGUUAAAGGCUUGCACUUUCCCAAGAUUUGUUUUUAGGAAAGAGUUAGCCAGAGAGUGUCUGGACUGGGGGACACCAGGCGCAUUGCAGGAACUGGGGGAAGGGAGCCAUCCUGAGAAGAGGCGCUGAGAGCAGGUCCACAGGCUAGACAUUGAGACCAAGCCCCAGCCUUCACCCCCUCCACCCCCCACCUCCGGCUCCUAGACUGGCAGCCAAAGAAGACAGACUCUCCUGGGUGUGUGACCCUGACACCCCACAGACACUGAGCCUAGUUCAUCCUCAGAAAGUAGAACGUCACUCAUAGUCAGAGUUUCCACCUCGCCUUUUAGGGUUUCACUGCUUCGGUUUUAACAUCCUCCAGUGUUUAUUAACAGCCCCCUCUUACCUCGUGGAGCAUGAAGUCGUCAGGUUUUCUGUCACCUUCAGCUUCCCCCUCCCUGUCUGAUCCAAACUGUAAUAAUCAGCGUUUUCUUUAUUGUAAGGUCACAUCUUUUGUUUUUUUCACUCAGCAUGGUGGAAGCAGUAUAUUAUACAAGUAACCCUAGUAGUGUUUUACUCUUAAAUAUACGACUGGACAGCCAAGGCCACUAAGCACGUGAAGAAAACCCUGAGUAAAAGGGACAGGACAGAACGGAAGAGUGGAACCUCAGUGUGUGUAGCCAGAAGGGAGGUGCUGUGAGUGUGAGGAAAGGCCGGGAACUGAUUUUAAAUACUGUGUCUCAGCGUGUAUUUGAGUUGCUAGGCUACUGAGGGUCAGGGCGGUGAUGGGGAGGAGGCCUGGUGAAGCUGGGGGCAGAAGAAGGCUCGUUGAGGGGCGCUGCCAGUGAUGUGUCUAAAAUUAUGAAAGGGAGGGGAGGCGGACCGGGCAGAAGAGCAUGGGCGGGGACAGGACGCCGGGAAACAGCUGUGACUUGUGGGGGUCCACUGUGGGUUUGGUGGGGCUGGAAUGUAAACCCGCAGUUGUCAGGCUGGUCUCACUUAGUGAAAAUGCCUGUCACCUGGUACUUAACCCUUUGCAGGUCCCUGCCAGGUGUGUUGGACCCUGCAGAGGCGGGUCGGGGGCUGCACACUCGGUUGGCCUUCACAUUCACGCGGGGCGUGGGCUGGAGCCAGCCCGGGAGUCAUUGAGGCCCAUCAGCAGGACCCCGAGCCCGCAGGGCCUCUUCCCACGUCGGCUGGCUCCCUUCCGCCCGGCCCGCCGCCAGCUGCGGCCCAGCCUUGGGUCCUGACGGCCAGGAGGUGACCCCACAGCCGCCUGCAGCCGCCCUGCCCUUCACGGUCCUGUCCUUCAGCCAAAUCCCAGUGAAAAGGCCAAGCACCCAGAUAGGGAUGUUUGGAGGGGUUCUCUCUGGGCAGAGAGCACGGAGCCUGGGCCGGGCGGUUGAUUUGCAGUGCUGUGCUGGUUUCUGCUGCACAGCCACAGGAGUCAGGUAUACACAGUAUGUUCUUAUCACGUUCUUUCCCAUGAUGGUUUAUCCCAGGACAUUGACUAUAGUUCCCUGUGCCACGCAGGAGGACCUUGUUUACCAAAGUUUUCUUUUAUGUAUAUUGUUUGUUUAUGCCUUGUCCUUACAGACUUAUGUGAAGUGAACCAGUUUUCUUAAAACUGUAUUUUAAUUUCAAAACUCCUUAGGACUUAACUUCGUAAGUGUGUCAGCACAUAUGCCAUCCAAGUGGAAUGAUUUCAGAAGCCCAGAUGGGGGCUUCCUAGGUGGCGCAGUGGUUAAGAAUCCGCCUGCCAAUGCAGAGGUCACAGGUUCGAUCCCAGCUCCGGGAAGAUCCCACAUGCCGCGGAGCAACUAAGCCCGUGUGCCUAAAAAAUUAAAAAAAAAAAGAAGUCCAGAUGGUGUGCGUCCAGGGUUGUAGAUCUGAGCUGAGACACAAAAGAAUUGGAAUCUGAGAUGCUUCCUCGAAGCUGGGGUGAGGGGUGCCACUGAUGGUGUGUGUGAACCGAGGGCCUCCGGCGACAACAGGAGAUGCUUGCCUGGACAUUUGUUCCCUAGAAUAAACUCUUGGUUCUGCAGAUCUCGCUUCCGAACUGUUGAUACAUAGUGAGCAGGCCCUGGUGCAUCCCAUUUGUCAGGAGUGAGCCGUGACCGGCAGAUCACCAGGAAGGAUGGAUAUUCUGUCUGCGUAAGCCGAGAAAUGAUUAAUAACAAACAUGAAUUAGCACCAUCUGGGUUGAAAUUUCCCUUCAGGGAUGAACAUUUAUUAAAAGAAAUAAAUGAUCAUUGACAGUUUCCCCUCUCACGCCUCAGUGGGUGGCUUUUAAUACAGCCUGUGAGUCCGCUUUUAGAUUUCAUUCUCAACUGCCUGUUUUCAAAAGCUCAUCCAUCCAUUUACUAACUUUUAAAAAAUGUACAGGAGCAACUGAUAGGCCGUUUCUUUGAUCUUAGGUGAAGGGUUUUGUUCUCGUCUGCUGUUAUUUCGGUCGUGCCGGGGAGAGUGGAUCCCUGGGCAGCUGAUAACAGCUGUGAGGCGAAGGGCAUGCUCCCGCCUUUAAAGUGAGCGCGACCGGAGGCGAGGCUUUCCAUGCGUGAGCUGGAAGCGCGCGAACCUGCGGAGGAUCUUCCAGUAGCUUGUAGCUGUUGAGAAGUGAUGAGUAGCUCUGUGGAAAUCAGACCGUAUGGUGACGGGUUCAAGCAUCAGAACAUGAGCUGAAAUUCUCUCUUGCUCUUCGAGAGUCUCCUGAUUGGCCUGGAACGUCUCAGCUUAGAAGAAAUGUGGUAUUUCAGCAAGUUAUACUUGCCGUUUGUCACCCGAUACUGAUAAUGGUUUUUCACUCAUUGAACAGACACUUAGGAACUUAUUUCCCAGGCGUUCUCUCUUUCAGCACAUGGUGUCUCUGUGCCUGCAGCCUGGGCUGGGGAGGCAGCUCUGGGGCAGGGCUCGGCGUCUGUCCGGUGAGCAGGGGUGGGGGCUGCCGCCUGUGCUCUGGCCGCAGGAGCAGGGAUCCGCCCCGUCCCCGCACACAGCCCAGUGGGGGCCGCGGCCACAGGCGUGCGUUGUCAUGUGGGGUGUGAGGAGGGAGCCGUCCGGGCCGCUGGCGCUAACCCUGCCC